rnacentral:tRNA from 6 species
CGCGGGGUAGAGCAGUUUGGUAGCUCGUCGGGCUCAUAACCCGGAGGUCGUAGGUUCAAAUCCUGCCCCCGCAACCA